AUAUCAUUAAGCGGAGGAAAAGAAACUAACAAGGAUGCCCUCAGUAACGGCGAGUGAAGUGGGCAAAGCUCAAACUGAAAAUCCGUUCCCCAAGCGGGGGAUGCGAAUUGUAGUCUAUAGACGCGCUAGCAGCAGUGGGCCGGGUAUAAAUCUUUUGAAACAAGGUGUCAUAGAGGGUGAGAACCCCGUCCAUGACUCGGACUCCGUUGCGUACGCUGCGUGUUCAAAGAGUCGGGUUGCUUGGGAUUGCAGCCCUAAGUGGGUGGUAAACUUCAUCUAAAGCUAAAUAUUGGCGAGAGACCGAUAGCGAACAAGUACCGUGAGGGAAAGAUGAAAAGAACUUUGAAAAGAGAGUUAAAAAGUACUUGAAAUUGUUAAGAGGGAAGCACUGGAAACCAGUAUUACUGGGUAUUGUACUCGCCUAUCUGCGGCUUGGCGGUGGUGUGCCGGGAGUUUAACCCUCGGUUAUGUUACCAAAGAGUCGUCGGUGGGUCUAGCAGUGCCUAGUAGGUCAAAAUCAAUUUGCUUCGUGGGAGAAAGCUGUGGGGAAGGUAGGGCGGAGGGGCAACCCAAUGCCUGUUAUAGCCCUGCAGUCCUACCAUGGAGUGGAUUGA
rnacentral:rRNA from 1 species